rnacentral:rRNA from 1 species
ACAUCGCCUCUUGAAUUCCUAUAAGAGGUCCAGCCUGCCCAGUGACUUUGUUCAACGGCCGCGGUAUCCUAACCGUGCGAAGGUAGCGUAAUCACUUGUCUUUUAAAUGAGGACUUGUAUGAAUGGCAUCACGAGGGUUAUACUGUCUCCUUUUUCUAAUCAGUGAAACUAAUCUUCCCGUGAAGAAGCGGGAAUAAAUAUAUAAGACGAGAAGACCCUAUGGAGCUUUAAACUUAAUAACAAAUACUAACCUUACUUCAACUUCCAGAACAUUAAUCUUAAUUUUAGUAUCCUGUUUAUUAGUUUUAGGUUGGGGUGACCGCGGAGUAAAAAUUAACCUCCAUAUUGAAUAGGACUUGUCCUUGAGCUAAGAACUACAGCCCUAAGCACCAAUAAAUUGACAUUAAUUGAC